rnacentral:rRNA from 1 species
UCUUGGUCAUUUAGAGGAAGUAAAAGUCGUAACAAGGUUUCCGUAGGUGAACCUGCGGAAGGAUCAUUAUCGAGAGAAUGGGGUCUAACCGGCCUCGACUCUUCACCCGUGACAACAUAGCCAUGUUGCUUUGGCUGACGGGGCUUACCCUUAAGUCAGCCGAAGGAUUAUCUAAAAUCUUUUUAUCUGUGUAGUCCGAGCGAUUAUUAAAUAGUUAAAACUUUCAACAACGGAUCUCUUGGUUCUGGCAUCGAUGAAGAACGCAGCGAAAUGCGAUAAGUAAUGUGAAUUGCAGAAUUCCGUGAAUCAUCGAAUCUUUGAACGCACAUUGCGCCCUUUGGUAUUCCGAAGGGCAUGCCUGUUCGAGCGUCAUUGCAACUCUCAAGCAUUGCUUGGUAUUGGUUUUCGUCUCCGAGACGUAGCCGAAAUUCUGUGGCGGUCCAGCGAGACUUCAAGCGAACAAGAUUUAUAUCCCGCUUUGCAAGCACCUCGUCGACCCAGCCAGUAAAUUAAAUUUUCAUGAUUGACCUCGGAUCAGGUAGGGAUACCCGCUGAACUUAAGCAUAUCAAUAAGCGGUGGAAA